GACGAACGCUGGCGGCAGGCUUAACACAUGCAAGUCGAGCGCCCCGCAAGGGGAGCGGCGGACGGGUGAGUAACGCGUGGGAAUCUGCCCUUUGGUGUGGGACAACCACGGGAAACUGUGGCUAAUACCGCAUGAGCCCGAGAGGGGAAAGCCGCAAGGCGCCGAGGGAUGAGCCCGCGUCGGAUUAGCUAGUUGGUAGGGUAACGGCCUACCAAGGCGAUGAUCCGUAGCUGGUCGAGAGGAUGAUCAGCCACACUGGGACUGAGACACGGCCCAGACUCCUACGGGAGGCAGCAGUGGGGAAUAUUGGACAAUGGGGGAAACCCUGAUCCAGCCAUGCCGCGUGAGUGAUGAAGGCCUUCGGUUG
rnacentral:rRNA from 1 species